GGCAGCGCGGGCGCGCGGACAUGGCUGCGGCGGCUUCGGUGGCGGCCGUGGGCUGCGCCCCAGCCUGAGGGCCCAUUGCCCACUCCACCCAAGCCACCCGACAGUGCGCGCCGACCUCGUAUCAACCGGCGGGUGCCUCUCAGCUCCCGGGGACCCGGGGCUUCCACCUGCCCAGCCUCCUUUGGCGGAAUUUCUGGGGAGCCCGGCGUGAGGGGGCGCCAAGGAGCCAGGGGGAAAAUCGUAAGGCGCUGGCGAGAGCCUGCAAGCGGUGCUACCCGCCACUUCCCACCCUCCGGCGCCCCGCCCCGAGGUAGGGGCUUUGGAGGAUGCAGCCGGGUGAGCUAUUGCUUAUGGGGGGGGUUCCUCGCACGCUGAAGCGCGAGCACCGGGAAGGGCCUUCCCUGGGAGUUGGGAUCCUCUAGCAAAGAGAGGCCCAUCCCUCUCCAAACCCCUUUUAACUAGAAGUGCUUCGGAGAAGAACGCUCGGGUCUAGAGACGUGAACAGUCCACCCCCAAACUUGGUGCUAUUUUGCCGGCGAUAAAUAGGCACUUCAGAUCCUCCUGUAUCUUUGUAUCUAAAAUCCUGACUCAUUUGAUGCAUUUGAAGGGAGAGGCGUUUUAAGAUUUAGGGACCUAACAAAUGAAGGAAGUUGGGGCUUGGCUUGUAAAUAUUUCGAGGAGAAAUUUUUAGGCAGUGUGAAGCCAUGGUGAUCUGUCGCACUCUUGGACACCAUUCCUUUUACUGCUAUCCUCCACUCACAUUUCUUCAUAAUCAGCAAAAAGUAUAUUGUAGUUUGUGACUGGGGCAUUUAACAGUGGUCACUGGUGCAAUGCCAACCCAGAAGGUAUAGCAGGAGCGCUGCAGUGUGCCUUUCUGCAGACAGACUUGGCCACCUGGCGAGAAAGCCGCUGCUGCAGCGGUCAGUCUGCGGCAUCUUGCGGCUUUGGCGGGCCAGUGCGGUAUGGCGUUCUGCUGCCCCCAAGGCAAUGCUGGCUUUCCCUAUGUGGGGAUGGGUAGUUUGUUUUCACUAACUCUCAUAAGGAAACUGCAAAUCACAGUGACAAGGUAACACAUUACUGCAUCCAACUAGAUUGGACUCAUUUUGGAAUUUUUAAGAAACUAAAGAAAUUGUGUCAUAAAAAUAAUUUGUAAAAUUCUGAAAUGCUAUUAAAGAAUUGAUAGGAAUACUUGUUUUAUUUGCAUGUAAGAAUCUCAAAAUGAGUGUUGUUUUCUAACUGUACAAAACCAACUCUACAACUCCGCAUAAAAGCUUAACCAUUGAUGUUCUUAAGGCCAGUAACAUAUUACCAGGUAUAAGCAUUAAAAGAAACUCAGAAAGGUGUUUCCUAAUACAGUCUCUUCAAUGCUAAGUUAAUAAACAUGAAAAACAAUGGGUAUAUUUUCUUAUUUACAGCUGGUUUCCUAAAACAAACACUCAAAUUGUUGGCAUGUUGCAUCUCAUUUAGUCAUUCCGUUAUUUGGGGCUGAAGACAGAAGGGACCUUGCUUGCAAACCAGGUAUAAAGUGGGAAUAUUGAACGUCAGAGUGUAGGCUGCAUUGCAUGCUAGGACAGGCUUCACAAGUUCCUGGCACUCAGAGGGGCUGACAGGUAGCUCUGCAUCAUGUGCACAUAGCUAAGGGUUUCUUGAUACCGCAGCCCACUGCAGUCAGAAACUAUUCUUGUCCAUUAUGCAGGGGUUAUUGAAAAGAAUCCUGAGCCUGCAAUGUGUGGCACAUCAGGAAAGCAAGAAUUCUCCACCACAUUAACAAUGGCAUGGUGGAGUAAUUUAAAACCACAAAACUGAAUUAAUCUUUUGCAAACAUUGGGUGGAAACAAUAGAAUUUAGGAAGGUCAUCUUUAUGUUUCUCAUUGACUAAAAAUUUGUGAGCUGAUAUGGAUUAAAUAUCCUUGAACAGAAACAGGCAUAAGACUACCAACACCACAUAGCAACAAAUUUGCCUCAAACACUGCAUUUUUAACAAUAAGAAGCAACUAAAUAGCAAUUAUGGUUCUCUAAGCUAUUACUUUAGCACAAUUCUUAUCAUCUCAGUCUUGGUGCAGCCAUUUAUAAGUUUCAAGAACACACAAGAACAUCAUUUAUCUCUCUUGGCAGGCAAAUGCUUAACUACCAUGCAGAAGGAUUAUAGAUACUUCUUUUUAGAUGCAUUCAUUUCUGUUCUUUGCAUCAGUUAUCUUAAAGAUAUUAACAACAAGCAAACCAAAUCCUAGAAGAGUUCAGUGCUUGGUUUCAUUGUUAAUUUCUGAUGUAUUGCUAAUUAAUCAUUUUUCCCAAACAAUGGCAUGUUAUUAAUUGCUUCUUUGUAUUUGUGUGGUGCCUGAUGCAUUAUGGA
rnacentral:lncRNA from 1 species